UUACAAGUGUCACACGGAACUGCCGGUCAUAAACCGGAGGAAGGUGGGGAUGACGUCAAGUCAGCAUGGCCUUUAUAUCCUGGGCUACACACACGCUACAAUGGGAAGGGACAAUAGGUUGCGAAGCCGCGAGGCGGAGCCAAUCCAGCAAACUUCCCUCAGUUCAGAUUGCAGGCUGCAACUCGCCUGCAUGAAGUUGGAGUUGCUAGUAAACGCAGGUCAGCCAUACUGCGUUGAAUACGUUCCCGGGGCUU
rnacentral:rRNA from 1 species